AUUGAACGCUGGCGGAAUGCUUUACACAUGCAAGUCGAACGGCAGCACGGACUUCGGUCUGGUGGCGAGUGGCGAACGGGUGAGUAAUGUAUCGGAACGUGCCCAGUCGUGGGGGAUAACGUAGUGAAAAUUACGCUAAUACCGCAUACGAUCUAUGGAUGAAAGCGGGGGAUCGCAAGACCUCGCGCGACUGGAGCGGCAGAUAUCAGAUUAGGUAGUUGGUGGGGUAAAGGCCCACCAAGCCAACGAUCUGUAGCUGGUCUGAGAGGACGACCAGCCACACUGCAACUGAGACACGGUCAGACUCCUACGGGAGGCAGCAGUGGGGAAUUUUGGACAAUGGGCGAAAGCCUGAUCCAGCCAUUCCGCGUGCAGGAUGAAGGCCCACGGGUUGUAAACUGCUUUUGUACAGAACGAAAAGGUUUCUACUAAUACUAGGAGCUCAUGACGGUACUGUAAGAAUAAGCACCGGCAAACUCUGUGCCAGCAGCCGCAGUAA
rnacentral:rRNA from 1 species